rnacentral:tRNA from 1 species
AUUUUUAUAGUAAAAAUUAUUACAUAGUAUUUUCAUUACUAAAUUGUCUUAACUAAAAAUU